UGUAACAUUAACGAUACCCAGUUGUUUUUCACUUCAAUGACUGCAGCUUGUAAUAGCUUCAGUUUAACUCUUUAAGAUCUGCUCUGAAGAAGAGGAAUGAUAUUGAUAUCCUUUGUCAUUGUGCCUGCUGCAUAUAAGUUGAUGGCACUAAAAAAAAUAAAAUGCGAUUUUUGAAAGUUCUUUGAGUUGAAUGAGAAGGUGCAUUGUGCUCUUAAGCUGUCCCAUGAGUAAACUUGUGAAGUUGUUUUUCUGACUGUGGUAAAUGUGUACUUUUACAUCAACACGAUUGCUACAAAGAUGCUGUUUCAUUUCAUUGCUCAAAUUCUUACCAAAACCUUUCCUUUGAUAGCCAUUUCCAUUGUUCAAUAAAGCAAUAUUUGCUUUAAUCAAGUUUUUUUUUUUUUUUCUUUUUCCCAACGAUACUGACCAUUUUUGUCACUGUGGAGGCAGCAACUACUGGUUAAAAUGUAAUGUUAUAGUUAAAUUCCAAUGUUAGGGUGAAAUUCACAUGCAAUACAUGAACAUGCAUUAAUGUGUCAAAUACAACACAUCCACAAGAAUUAAAAAUCACUUACACUUAAGCCACCUGCAGCUUAGCUUAACGGAAAAGUUGCAAGUCACACUUUCUUCGAGUGGAGAUGUAAUGACUAAAAGGUUACCAGCACUUCUGUAACUAAAAAAAACUGUGUUUUCUAAUUUAAUUGCUACAUAAACCUACAUAAAAUGUAGGUGGAACUAUUUGUCACAAUCAAGCUGCAGCCUUCAGGUUUUAAAAAUGAACACAACUUGGAGCUGUGGCAAAGUGCUGGAUUCUGUAGAAGCAUGAAGUUAAGGGCAUCUCUGAGGCAUCACCUCUGCUAAUGCUAGUCACUGGAGGCCUUGAGGCGACUUUUGUUGUGAUUUGGCACUAUAUAAAUAAAAUUGAAUUGAAUUGGAACUUUCCCCUGCAUUUGUCUUUUAGGGCUUGAAAUUUAUCUGACAAAUAAUAUCACCUGCUUUGUGGGACAGGCCAUCCAAGAAGUGGGUAUUUGAAAUUCUAGUAUUUUCUUUAAAACUUUGUUUUCUCGGGCUCUUAUUUGGUACUAAUAAGCAUUGCACUUGCACAGGUUAUGGAUGCAGCUUGCUAAGCAGCUUGCUAGCUUUAAUAAUCUUAUGCCCAAAACCAGUGGGUACCAUCAGGACAGCUGUGUCCACCUUUUAUAUGCAAUGUAUUCCCAACUGCAUCUUACUGUCUGAACAACUAAAAUGUUGUGAUUGGAAUCCCCAAACCAGACUGCAUUUGUACAUUUUCAUCAUACAGAAUGGUGGUAGGUAGGAUAUUUAGCUUGUAAUCAUAAGGAAGAAAAAACAAGUUCACCCAUUAAGAGAAUAUCUAACUUUCAUAAAAUCCAUUCAUGAUUUAUCUGGGCAUUAAUAGCUCUGAGUAUACUGGAUAUGAUAUUGGGACAGAGCUAUGCUACAUGUUUCCUAGCUUGUGCUAAGCUAACAGACAUUCAUGAUCGAGUCUCAUCAUCAAGGAGAAAGAAAAUCAUAUGGCCAUUCUCUCAUAUUCAUCUCUCUAGACUAAAACAUUAUAGUGUUUUGACUAUCUUCUGCCUUCCAUUGUCCUACAGAGUUUGUGUUUAAUUGCAGUGUUGAUGGAGUCAGUUUCUGCCCUCAGCUUUGUGUCAGACUCUUGUUUGAUUGCCAUAAUGGCAUUUCUAACAUAGGGCAUUCCUUUUUGUUAUCAAAUGGUUAUGAGAAGCUGCUUCUAGCAAAGUUUUGUGAUUGCCAAAAUGUUCAAUUCAACAUGCCCUGAAAGGAACAACAGGGAUUAUAUCCUUGUUUGCUUGUGCUGUGCUUAAAGUGUUUUUUGUGGUUCAAAAAUGCCUGGAUUCACAACAGGUCUUGAGCAUGGUGAUAUUGUGCAGAAGUGUUGGAAAAGCAUAGAAUAAAGUGCUGUUCAGUCCUGAUGCAUAUGACUGGUCUUUUUUGUUGUUGUUCCCUAAAUUUGGUUUUAUUUUAUUGUUUUAAUGAAUGUGGUUAGAUGUGAACUCCCUGUUUUCUUACAUAACUCGAGUUUGGACUCCAACACCAUCUUUUUUGUCAAGGA
ensembl:lncRNA